rnacentral:rRNA from 1 species
CGGGCCAAAGAGGGGGACCUUCGGGCCUCUCGCGUCAGGAUAUGCCUAGGUGGGAUUAGCUAGUUGGUGAGGUAAGGGCUCACCAAGGCGACGAUCCCUAGCUGGUCUGAGAGGAUGAUCAGCCACACUGGAACUGAGACACGGUCCAGACUCCUACGGGAGGCAGCAGUGGGGAAUAUUGCACAAUGGGCGCAAGCCUGAUGCAGCCAUGCCGCGUGUAUGAAGAAGGCCUUCGGGUUGUAAAGUACUUUCAGUCGUGAGGAAGGCGGCGUCGUUAAUAGCGGCGUUGUUUGACGUUAGCGACAGAAGAAGCACCGGCUAACUCCGUGCCAGCAGCCGCGGUAAUACGGAGGGUGCGAGCGUUAAUCGGAAUUACUGGGCGUAAAGCGCAUGCAGGUGGUUUGUUAAGUCAGAUGUGAAAGCCCGGGGCUCAACCUCGGAAUAGCAUUUGAAACUGGCAGACUAGAGUACUGUAGAGGGGGGUAGAAUUUCAGGUGUAGCGGUGAAAUGCGUAGAGAUCUGAAGGAAUACCGGUGGCGAAGGCGGCCCCCUGGACAGAU